rnacentral:rRNA from 1 species
UACGUAGGGGGCUAGCGUUGUCCGGAAUCAUUGGGCGUAAAGAGCGUGUAGGCGGUCCGGUAAGUCCGCUGUGAAAGCCGGGGGCUCAACCCUCGAAUGCCGGUGGAUACUGUCGGGCUAGAGUGCGGAAGAGGCGAGUGGAAUUUCUGGUGUAGCGGUGAAAUGCGCAGAUAUCAGGAGGAACACCUAUGGCGAAGGCAGCUCGCUGGGACGUUACUGACGCUGAGACGCGAAAGCGUGGGGAGCAAACAGG